ACUCCUACGGGAGGCAGCAGUGGGGAAUAUUGCACAAUGGGCGCAAGCCUGAUGCAGCCAUGCCGCGUGUAUGAAGAAGGCCUUCGGGUUGUAAAGUACUUUCAGCAGUGAGGAAGGCGGGUGUGUUAAUAGCGCAUUCGUUUGACGUUAGCUGCAGAAGAAGCACCGGCUAACUCCGUGCCAGCAGCCGCGGUAAUACGGAGGGUGCGAGCGUUAAUCGGAAUUACUGGGCGUAAAGCGCAUGCAGGUGGUUUGUUAAGUCAGAUGUGAAAGCCCGGGGCUCAACCUCGGAAUAGCAUUUGAAACUGGCAGACUAGAGUACUGUAGAGGGGGGUAGAAUUUCAGGUGUAGCGGUGAAAUGCGUAGAGAUCUGAAGGAAUACCGGUGGCGAAGGCGGCCCCCUGGACAGAUACUGACACUCAGAUGCGAAAGCGUGGGGAGCAAACAGGAUUAGAUACCCUGGUAGGAUAGCG
rnacentral:rRNA from 1 species